AGUGAACGCUGGCGGUAGGCCUAACACAUGCAAGUCGAACGGCAGCACAGUAAGAGCUUGCUCUUACGGGUGGCGAGUGACGGACGGGUGAGGAAUACAUCGGAAUCUACUUUUUCGUGGGGGAUAACGUAGGGAAACUUACGCUAAUACCGCAUACGACCUACGGGUGAAAGCAGGGGAUCUUCGGACCUUGCGCGAUUGAAUGAGCCGAUGUCGGAUUAGCUAGUUGGCGGGGUAAAGGCCCACCAAGGCGACGAUCCGUAGCUGGUCUGAGAGGAUGAUCAGCCACACUGGAACUGAGACACGGUCCAGACUCCUACGGGAGGCAGCAGUGGGGAAUAUUCGACAAUGGGCGCAAGCCUGAUCCAGCCAUACCGCGUGGGUGAAGAAGGCCUUCGGGUUGUAAAGCCCUUUUGUUGGGAAAGAAAAGCAGCAGGUUAAUACCCCGCUGUUCUGACGGUACCCAAAGAAUAAGCACCGGCUAACUUCGUG
rnacentral:rRNA from 1 species